rnacentral:rRNA from 1 species
UACGGAGGGUGCAAGCGUUAUCCGGAUUCACUGGGUUUAAAGGGUGCGUAGGCGGACAGGUAAGUCCGUGGUGAAAUCCUGCAGCUUAACUGCAGAACUGCCAUGGAUACUAUCUAUCUUGAAUGUCGUGGAGGUUAGCGGAAUAUGUCAUGUAGCGGUGAAAUGCUUAGAGAUGACAUAGAACACCCAUUGCGAAGGCAGCUAACUACGCGAUAAUUGACGCUGAUGCACGAAAGCGUGGGGGAUCAAACAGG